ensembl:lncRNA
ACUUUCUUCCAGGAAAUUCUCUUGGACAGGACUUCCAGUGGCUCCAGACAGCCCUCUUUGCACUGUGGACCAUAUCUAGUCUACAAGGAACAGUCACAUAUCUAACCCACAGCUAGAGCCAAAGAUGGAGAAGCUCUAUACAGUCAACAAAAACAAGACCAGGAGCUGUCUGUGGCUCAGAUCAUGAACUCCUUGUUGCCAAAUUCAGACUUAAAUUGAAGAAAGUGAGGAAACCACUAGACCACUCAGCAUUCAUCUCAGCUCUUUGAAAGCAGGAAAAGGCUGAUCUGGAGGAUGCUGGCCGCUAGGAGAGAACAGAACAGGAGCUGUAGCAACACAGAAAGGGAGAGAGAAAUCAUGUCUAUAGGAGGGCAGGUUUAGCCCACCCACCUCACCCAGCCCAUUGGAGCUGCUUGGAUUUUCAGAGGUGAGCCAAGGAGAGAAGCCCAGCCCAAGAGAGGUGCAGUUUCCCAACUUUACAGCUUUCUAGACCAUGGAGGAAAGUGGACUAUCCCCAAAAUGCAGUCCAGAUCCUCUUCCUCUGGACUCAAAGAAACAAAAAAGGCAGAAGAGCCAUGCUCAUUUAUUCCUUCAAUUCAGCACAAUGAAGCUUCUUUCCAUUAGCACCAGGAAUAAUAAAAUUAUCUCAAAAAUGCCUGUCCUUCUUCCUCCAAAGGAAC